rnacentral:rRNA from 1 species
UACGUAGGGGGCUAGCGUUGUCCGGAUUUAUUGGGCGUAAAGAGCGUGUAGGCGGCCAGGUAGGUCUGCUGUGAAAACUCGAGGCUCAACCUCGAGACGUCGGCGGAAACCAUCUGGCUAGAGUCCGGAAGAGGAGUGUGGAAUUCCUGGUGUAGCGGUGGAAUGCGCAGAUAUCAGGAGGAACACCGAUGGCGAAGGCAGGUCUCUGGGCAUUAACUGACGCUGAGGAGCGAAAGCAUGGGGAGCGAACAGG